rnacentral:rRNA from 1 species
UACAGAGGUCUCAAGCGUUGUUCGGAUUCAUUGGGCGUAAAGGGCGCGUAGGCUGCGGGGCAAGUCGGGUGUGAAAUCUCAGAGCUCAACUCUGAAACUGCACUCGAUACUGCUUUGCUUGAGGACUGGAGAGGAGAUUGGAAUUCACGGUGUAGCAGUGAAAUGCGUAGAUAUCAAGCGGAACACCAGUGGCGAAGGCGAGUCCCUGGACAACUCCUGACACUGAGGCACGAAAGCUAGGGGAGCAAACAGG